AGCGUUAAUGCACCGGAUCCCAUCAGAACUCCGCAGGUAAGCGCGCUUGGGCUAGAGUAGUACUGGGAUGGGUGACCUCCCGGGAAGUCCUAGUGUUGCACCCU
rnacentral:rRNA from 1 species